rnacentral:rRNA from 1 species
GGAUCCAGACUUUGAUUUCUUGGCCCAGGGUUGACCGCCUAGCCGACAGGGCUUAACACUUCAAGUCGAAGGGGUUACAAGGGAAGCUUGCUUCCGCUGACGACCGGGGGCACGGGUGCGUACGCGUAUGAAACCCUGCCUUAUACUGGGGGAUAGCCCGAAGAAAUUCCGGAUUAAUACCCCCCAUAACACUACAAAAAUCGCAUGAUUUAGUAGGUUAAAACUCCGGUGGUAUAAGAUGGUCAUGCGUGACAUUAGCUAGUUGGUAAGGUAACGGCUUACCAAGGCGACGAUGUCUAGGGGUUCUGAGAGGAAGGUCCCCCACGCUGGUACUGAGACACGGACCAGACUCCUACGGGAGGCAGCAGUGAGGAAUAUUGGUCAAUGGACGCAAGUCUGAACCAGCCAUGUCGCGUGCAGGAAGACUGCCCUAUGGGUUGUAAACUGCUUUUAUACGGGAAGAAAUAUAGUUACGUGUAAUUAUUUGCCGGUACCGUAUGAAUAAGCAUCGGCUUACUCCGUGCCAGCAGCCGCGG